AAUGAGCUAAUUGGCUGUGUUGUUCCUAACCUUCUCGCUAGGGGGGGCAAGACUGUGUCACCUACACACUUAUCGGUGUCGCUACCGCGAAUUUUGAAUCUAUACUGCUGCGAAUAACAGAAACUACAGCUAUGUAAUUACUUGGUAAGUAUAAUUAAAACUUUGUUUUAUUAUAAAAACAUCAUUUUUGUACUGAUUUCAGGGUGAAGAAUCCAUUGUUAGUCUUACGUUUUCAUUGUCAGUAUCAGAUAUCCUUUAAAAUAAGAAAAUCUUCAAUUAACUGUAUAGUAUUUUGUAUUUCCUUGGUGUCUAUAGAUCUAAGAUUUACUAUAUAAUAUGUUCUUUUUUGAUAUACAUAAUCAAGGUUGAAAUAGUAUGUAACACUUGAUGCAGUAAACAAAGUUUUAUUGUGGCAGAUUUCCAUGGAAAGACUCAAUAUUUUGUCCAUUAAAUGCAUUAUUAUGAGAUGUGGAGAUGGAGUAGGCUUAUGCAUUAUUAUGAGAUGUAGAGAUGGAGUAGGCUGAAAAUGUUGAACAUUAUUUAACGCUUAUUAAUGCAUACUUUAUUUUCUUUGUGACUAAAUUCUACACAGUUUGAUUCACUUGACUUACAUUUACACCUCCUGGUACAUUUACCAGUACACUGACAUAUUAAGAGCAUCUCAGAUGGAAUCAGGUCUAGAAAUCUCUCGGGAACAAGAAUGCCACUCGUCUUUCCAACCAAAGUCCCUGGGAUCCAAAGUGUUGUUUGGGUUUAGGAGCAUGACAGCAUUUCUGAUCACAAAGAAACAUCUGUAUAUAACCGCAAAUCACAGAGGGAGUUGGCGGGAGCUCAUUGAAGAUUUACCUUUUAAACAGCAGCUGUAUUGAAGUUCAAAUGUGUCAACCAUUGUACAUAUGUGAGCAAGCACCAGCACAAAGUUUCAAAGAACAGAUAUCAGCAUCAGUCAGUGAAUUGGUUUCUCCAAAGUUGAUCAAAGUCAUGGGUUGGCAGACAAGAGCUGCAAGUUUGGUUCCAAUUUUACUCACGGUGUCAUCGCCUGAAAGUAUAUGGACUUUGAUAAGGACACUACAAGUAUCUUCUCCCAACCUGAAGUGCAGAGUAUGCAGUGGUAUCUUCUGCUUGUGUUCUGUUCCAUACUCAUUCCACAACUCUUUCAGACCUUUGGCUUUGAAGGAGGUCAUGUACCUCAAGAUCAUUGCAAUGGUAUCUGUGUCAUUGGAUAAGACUACUACUCUAUCACACCCUCUCAACACUCCAUGAUAUGUGUGAAAUUAGCCUACAGUCUUUGGUAGCUGGAACAAGUGGGUACAUCAAUGGUGCUUGAAACUGUGCAUUAACAGCGCCAUCAUUCACUACCAUUCCACUGACAAGGUUACUUAUAUCCAUUAGGGCAAUCUCGUGCAAGAAUUUGUAGUUUUUCUUUGUUUUUGGGACUUGCCCAAAACUUUCCCAUCUGCUGUGGUAAAUGCACUGCUUCAGUCUUUGUGACAACAUUGAUUGACCCAUCAGAUUAUUCAGUUCGUCGUGCUCUUUCUCCUUCUUUGAUUGAUGACUCGCAGUAAGAGUCGAAUACAAGGUGGGUACAUUCUGAGUGGGAGAUGUUCCUUGCAUAAUUGAGGGUAUUGUUGAUGGCUUGGCUGAAAUUCUGAAAGAUUGACAAAUUUGGAUAUUGCCUAAUUUUCGACAUGAAAUCGAGGAUGACGUGUUUUCAUCUGUGUAGGGUUGAAUGCGCAAUCUUCCAGAGCUAAUUUUCUCUCCAAUUUCAAGUGCAUUUAGCAGCUUUGCAAUCACUUCUGAAACCACCAUCUGAUGUGUAACGAUGCAUGUAAUAGCACUUGUACUGUGGUGAACACAAAUGGAUUCUGACACUGUGAGAUGAAAUCCAGCAAAUGUAAUGAUACGUUCAUCGAAGACAAGGACCUUUUGACCACAAAGCUCAUGGUGAAGUACUGUUGCAUCAAGGUGUUCCAUCAACCCAGUAUUAGUCAGCUGACUAAAGGGUUCGGUGAUUUGGUGAUUCCCGUAAUCUCAUGGAACAUUUCAAACUCUGCUACUAUUGAUUCAUCUGAUCUUUCAACAGUCACAUGUCCACUUGGAUCUUUCUCACAUCUGUUGAUGGUUUGUUUGAGUUUCGUCUCGUGAAACAGCACUGAAUUUGCCUCCUUCUCUGUCUUGAACCACAAACUGACCCUUCAUGAAAUGGCAAAAUAGCAUGGUUUGUUCAACUUCCAAGACUUCCAUUCUCUCAAGGUAUCAUGAAGCAUACCUAAGGUAAUAGAUACAUCAAAUGCUGUGAAAAUCUUCAUUGAUCCUCUCACCACAGCAAUAUGGAAUGGCCAGUUCCCUUCUCUAUCAGAUCGGAACUUCUCGGACAAUUCCUGGGGGGAUGUUAUGACCCCAGAGACUGUCUUUCAUGUCAACAACUGUGUGUAUGAAAGUUGUGUUUAGUUCCUCUGAAUUUGAUUCCCAGAAAGCUUUCCAUUUUAGAAAAUUGAGUACUACUUCACCAAUGAUUAACAUGCCUUUAAAAGCAAGAACAUAGUAGGAGCCUGCAAGGACUGAAUGCAAAACUUUACUCCUCAAUCAAUCCAUCAUCAAAGCCUGUACCAACCAUGAGACGUCUGGCACAACGCAGGAGUACUUUGCAAUAAUGGAACAUCCACAUCAUUGGAUAUAUGUCAUAGAAAGUGUCAGGUUCGGACAUGACCCCUUCUGUCACAAUCUGGAAGACCUCCUCAUCACUGAAAAUAGGUAAAACAGGCUUUUUCAACUGCUGACGAACACUGGAAAUUUGUGAGUGCCAUGCAGAUGGCAACAUAUUCUGUUACUAGUUUUGGAAUCUUGGGAAGAAAUCUUACUCUUAUCAGAGGGACAUUUACCUCGGAAAUCAGUGCAUGUAUACCACUGUAGGUUGGUAGCUCAUAUGGCACAUUUAAAGUUGAAUCAAAGAUUUGAGAGCGAACAAGUGAGAUGACAAACUCAAUUUUAUUAGCAUCUAUUGCAGCUUGGUCAGGGCCAUACAAACCCAAGUUGCUAUUCUCUUGCAAGGCAAAAUCUGGUGGAAGUGAUGGUCAAACUACACUUAGCAUUUAGCAUUGUAAUUUUUGAACAGCAGAAAUUACAAUGCAUACAAAUCUCACUUCAUUUCAGCAGCUCUAAACAAAUAAGUAUGUUUUACCAGCAAGUGUAAUACGUACAUGUCAUGUUAAAUAAAUUUUUUCCUCUCUAUAUAUGUUUUGUAUUUCAGAGGAAAUCUGUAACUGAAAUUAAAAAAUAAUGCUAAAAAUAGAUUUCUCACCCUGAAAUCAGUACAAAAAUAUAUUAUAUACAAUACUAUAUGGCAGUUUGUAGACACACACACUCAGUCUUCAGUCCGUUGGCAGCAGUUUUGAAGUUUGUCUCCCAUUGAGGCCUGACCUAUAGUUCAGAUUGUCUACCCUGGUCAAUUUUGUUGGGAAAUGGUCUUUUUACUGAAAUCCAUUGAGAAAUUUAGGGUACAUUUUGAUGUAUACGGGGGUCCUGAUUCCUCAACUGAAGUCUGCUGUGAACUAUUGUGGGCACAAUGACAAAGGCUUAAAGAUACAAACUAGUGGAAUUCUCCCUACCGACUUAAUGAAAGUGGUGUGUCCACCCUCAGACAACACCAAGGAACUGAGAUCACUGUUUGAUUCCAGGGCACAACGCACCUUCAUCACACAAGAGGCAGCGGAAGAGUAAACUUAAACGAGACGAACCUGUCCAACUGAGCAUCAGUGGGUUCUGGGAUACCAAAGCACCUAGAGAAUAUAGUACGGUCACUGUACUUGUAAGGGUAAACGAUGACAGCCUCGUAACUUUAAAGGCUAUUGUUGUACCUAAACUACCUCAGAGCGCUAGGCCUCAUGGACUGUGUAGGCUAGUCUCUGAACUGAAGAGCAGGAAUGUCAACCUAGCUGACCCUAACUUGUCAAGUAGUCAGAUUGACCAGGUAAAACUGCUUGUUGGCGUGGAUCACUACUUUCACUUCAUCCAUGCUCCUCAGGCAAAUGGAGUAAAGGUGAUUGAGUCCUUUGGAUAUCUGGUCGCUCGUAAACUGCCUAGUAAAUGACGCCCCUAUCAGUACUCAUUCUGUAACUAAUGAGACUAGCAGUUGAUGAACCUUCCAAAGCUGCUCUAAAGACACCACUUGAGAUGUCUGAUAGCAAAUUUGCUUACCCCAUCCAACAGCUUUGGACCCUAGAAUCUGACGGAUUUGUUUAUCAAGAUAUGUCACCUGAAGAUAAAUUUGUACUGGAAGAAUUCAAGAAUUCCAUCAAUAUGGUUGGAGGACGAUAUAAGGUAUCUCUCCCCUGGAAAGUCGAUAGGAAACAACUCCCUACCAACUUAGCACUCUCGAGGAAAAGACAACAGUACUAUUCACAAACUGAAACAAACUAAUAAAUAUCUGGAAAUUUAUAACCAGAUCAUCAAAGAACAACUGUCUCUGGGCUUCAUUGAAACAGUACCAGAAGACAGGUUGAACUACGUACAUUAUUUACCCCAUUUACUUGUGAUUAAGGAUUCAACUACAAUACCCAUUCGUAUUGUGUUUGAUGCAAGUACCUGGAUGGACAAGUAGGCCCCUAGUCUGAAUGAUUGCUUAUACUCUGGCCCAUCCUUGACUGGUCAUCUAACAGACUUGUUGAAUUUCUUCUUGACCUAUUUGUAGUGCCGGCAGACAUGAGCAAAGCAUUCUUACAAGUAGGUCUCCAACCUAGAGAUCGUGAUUAUACACGGUUCAUCUGGCUGAGAGAUCCUAACAAUGAAAAGGACCUUCAAGCCUAUAGGUUUAGAUCAGUUCUCUUUGGAGCCACCUGCUCACCUUUUCUACUCCAGUCAACCUUGCUACAUCACUGAAACUUACCCCACUUCACCUGAAGUUAGUUUCCUCAUGACCAAAUUUUAUGUGGACAACAUAAUUAGUUCCUUACCUACAACAGGCACCCUCUCCAGUCUUUACAAAGUUCCAAAGGAAGUUCUGUCAGAUGCUGGAAUGCCUUUUAAGAGAAUGGAUCAGUAAUGAUCCAACUUUAAACUAAAUGGUAUCACAGGAAGGUGAGGGAACAGCAGAAGGCUCAGAUCUUGUCAAAGUUCUAGGACAGUAUUGGAACUAUACAAGACUGACCACUUAAGCAUAAAAUCCCCUACCUUUGAGGAAGCUCCACUUACCAAAUGGCUACUUUUGAGCAACCUUUCAAAAGUAUUUGACCCUCUAGGAUUGUUUGCUCACAUAAUUGUACGAGCCAAAGUUCUUAUUUAAAAGGUCAGGAAACUAUCUAAAUAGUGGGAUGAUGUUUUGCCGCCAGAACUUCUAGGAGAGUGGUCGAAGAUCAAGAAAGACCAGGCUCCAUAAACACAAUUGAGAAUCUUAAAACUAAGAACUCGGGACCUGUAAACUCGUAAAAUGUUGAAGUACUACUGAACUCAGAAGCAUUACAAAUUCUUAUUGGCUUCACGCAGAUUCAGUACUUCCCAGAGAUGCCAUACCUUAACAAAAAUUCCCAUAAAAUUCCAACCAGAGUUAAAUGCCUAGGCUUGUUCCUGGAUGAGAGUGGACUUUUUAGAUGCACUGGGAGACUACAAAAUGCUGACCACCUUACAAGUACUAGAAGUAAAUUUCCUUUGCUUUUACCUCCAAAGUCUUCUUUGACUGGACUUAUAGUCAUUCAUGCACAUGAAAAGGUUCUUCAUGCAGGUGUUCACGACACAAUUUGCAAAGUGAGAGAAGAGUACUGGAUACUAAGACUCAGACAGUGUCAAGCAGAUAAAAUCAAAGAGCCAACCAUGUGACCGUCUGGAAGGCCCCACUUUGCGCAGGCCUCCUCCUCCACCUCUACCAGCUUGCAGAGUGAACAGUCUCCGGCCAUUUGAGGUGACCAGAGUAGAUUUGACUGGACAAAUUCUUAUUGGCAAUCCAUACACUAAAGAAAUGGACAAGGUUUACAUAGUUGUGCUCACUUGUACCUCAACACGAGCUUGUCACCUGUAAGUGGUAAAAGACUUAACCAGCACUGCUUUUCUCAAUUCCUUCAGACGAUUUACUUCACAAAGAUCCUGCCCUUGUCAAAUGAUUUCUGACAAUGCCACUAACUUCAAGACUGGCUCUUCAUUGAUUCAGUCUUUAUAUGAUGUCACUGACGUACAGUCCACACUGACUAGAGAAAAUUGUAAAUGGACAUUCAUGACUCCUAGGGCACCCCAUCAAGGAGGCUUCUAGGAGAGGAUAGUUGGCAAUGUCAAAUCAGCCCUAAAAAAGCUAUAUUCAAGAAGAGGAUGAAUUCUGAGGAACUUAAUACCAUUUUCACUGAGACAGAGUGUCGCAUUAACAAUAUGUGGAUGCUAUGUCUCCAGAUACCGUUGAUGCCCUUACUCCUUCUCACCUGUGUAUGGCUACUGGUUAAACUCUGCCCACUACCAUAGACCGGGACUAUCUGAGUGACCCAAAUUUUGAGCUUGACCACAAAUGAUGCAAUGAGAAGUUCAAGUUUAUAUCUCAGCUAAUACAUGCAUUCCAGGAACACUGUGAGAGGGAAUACUUGCAGUCCCUAAGAGAUACACACUAUUUCAACAGGGAUCUGAGCUGACCAUUCCAAACUAGGAUUAAAGUAGAUGUGCUGUUAGUACGUAACGACACCCCUCAUUUGUAUGUGAAAAUUGGCAAGGGGCUUUCAGCUGAUGCCCAGCUCUGAUGGACUGGUCAGAGUUGUGAAGUUACAGACCAGAACGGAGAGACAAUUAAGUCAGUUGACAAACUUUACCCGCUGGAGGUCUCUAAGCCAGAAGAUGUGAAUACAGGCAGUCCCCAGGUUAAGAUGGGGGUAACGUUCUUGAGACGCGUUGUAAGCUGAAAGUCGUCAUAAGCCGGAACAUUGUCAAAACUCCUAAGAAAACCUUACUUUUAAUGCUUUGGGUGCAUUUAAAACUAUGUAAACUGCAUUCUUAUUGCAUUUUUCAUCAAAAAAACCUUCAAAUAUUGAUUAUUUUGCAUUUUUGGUGUCAUAUUUCUUCUGCCAGAUCAGCGUUGAAGGCGCCGUAACCCUGGAAAUAAUUUCUGAUUAAUAUAAUUGAAAAGCACCUUAACUUCGCAACGUCGUAAGCCGAACCUGUUGUAACCCGGGGACUGCCUGUAUGUACUGUAUAUGCUGUGGAGCAAAAUUUAUAAGACAGUCAAAAUUCCAAAGGCUAUCAAGCAGAAAAGAGACAAAAGAGAAGAGCUGCCACCAACUCAAGGUGAUUUUUACAAAUUUGAUUAAUGAUGAACCUGUUUAACCAACCUAACAAAACUGUGUUUUGUGUUUUCUCCCCCUGGGAGGAUGUUGUAAAUUUAUUUUGUACAUAUCAUUUUCUAACUUUAGUAGUCACUGCUAAGAGCUAUAAAUCACUAUACUCUAUUUUCUUUAGUGAGCGUAGCAACAUUUUUAAUACUGUAUCUUAAAUACUUUGAUUAAUUUUACUUAGCAUUUAAAAAGUUGAUAGAUUGAUUUAAUAAACAGUUUUAACUGUCCUUUCAAAUUAGUUAAGAAAUUGAUUUAGGGAGUGAUAAGAACCAUUGACCUGCCAUAAGUUUUUUUUCCUUUUUUUUGUGGCUAUAGGCCAAGGGCAGGCUGGUUAGGCCUUGUUUAAACAGAGCAUGACAGAUGCUUGACAACUUGUUUCAUUAACUUCAACUUGAGUAUAAUUUAUAUAGUGAAGGGUUGUAGAACUUAAUAACCUGUAAGAUAAUUGGUUUGUAUGACACCCCUUCCUAUUUAGUACCUAUCCUAACCCAUAUCCCUUCCAAAUCUUCAUCUACAACCAAAAUUUGAAGCCGCCAUCUGUACUACUCUUGUUGGAACAUGUCGGUAUUUUCAAUGCCUAACAUGAAACUACACAAGAGGCAUGAAUGACCCCCCUCUUCUGCUCUUGGGGAUACAAACCAUGAGUUUAUGAAGAUCACUCCUUAGGUGGAAGGUCGUCUCUCAACUGAAUCCCAAGCUCAGUUUCUAUCCAAGAAUGUAUUCAGUCAUAGAAGUGAGCAGAGAGCAUGACUCCUGUAACUUAUUUGGUUUGUAAUAGGAUUGAUAGUGAUAACACCCUGAGCCAACCUAUUUGGUUUGUAAUAGGAAUGAUAGUGAUAACACCCUGAGCCUUAAUACAUGUCUGAAAUCUUGCUCUUGUAGGAGAAACCAAGUGUGGCCCAUACAAUAUGUUACAAAAGUCGUAAGGUAGCUAAAGUUUGGACAGAAAAAAUUAAUGGUUUCAUAUGAUAAGUGGAGUGUCGCAUUGAUAAACCAAGGCUCUUAAGACUGGCUGCUCAAUUGUGUAGCUUACCUCCAUCCACACUUGAUCCAGCUGCUGCCUAACAGAGGAAAAGAUAGAAAAACCAGUCACCUAACCAUUCUACCCAAUGCCCAAUGAAGUACCUUAGUCAGGAUACUAUCUGAGAGGAGCUUGAGUGACUUCACAAUCUUGGAGCAGACAACAGGUCGCAAGUAGAAGGAAUCUUGGGACUCGGGCACAUCCCUUACGUAGAAUGAGGUAGAUAGUCUGACACCUCCAGACGCCUGCUUUCAUUACCUGUGCAACUGUAUUACUCGGAAAACAUUAGAAAAGAAAGAAUUUUCAUGGAAACCACCUACUUGACAGUAUACUAACAGAGGAGCUGACACUGGAGUAAGAGGUUAGCUCCUUUUAAGGUAGUACAUUGUGGCUCGCACUAGGCAUGUCAGAAACUAGGCCAGAUCACCACCACCAAGUCCCUGAGAGAGGUAACCGAGAAGCUCUCUUAUCUUUCAUCAGAAAUUGAUGGGGUUUGAGUUCAUGCCACAAACUUAGGAAUGAACAAGAACAAGCAUGUCAAAAAUUGAUGGGGUUAGAGUUCAUGCCACAACCCCAAGAAUGAACAAGAACAAGCAAGAUUCCCUAUCCUUUUGAGUGAUGGGCAAGAUUGGAAAGGCCAAAUAACUCACUAAUAUGGUUUGUCAAGGCUAAGGCUAGCAGGAAGACAGUCUGAGUGUGAGAACUUGGCCCAAAGCCUCAUCAAGAGCAACAUGUAAUCGAAGCAUGCCCCAGGACCUACCAGAUUCAGACCCAAUUUGAUAUCUCAUCAAUGAGCGACUUGAUGGCAGAAAGAUCAGACUAUGCAAAUGUUUGUCAUAUCGCAAGCUUAAUUUUGAAGGUUUUCAAAUAAUAAGAUGCAAACUGUCUCAUUGUGCCUCGCCCAGCUGACUUCAUUUUGUGUUACAAUUUUAACACAUUUCCAGUCUAAUCUGAAUGUGUGAUGUUUAUUAGUCUAUUGUAUAUUAUUGUUGCUAUGUGAUAUAGAAUUGGAUAUUCUAAAACAGCUCUCGAUAUGAUCUCUUUUGUGUCAUUUAAAAAAUUAAUAUUAAUUAUUGUUGCCAUUUGUUUUGAAUACAGUUCUUUUUAAUUUACUUUUUCCUUUUUAGGAAAUGUAACUUGUGAAAUGAGUUUAUGUAUUUGGACUGUUGUGUAAUUUCAUAAUAUUGUAUUUGAUGUUUCUGUGGAGAAUGGUCAAUAAAAAUCUAUCUAUCUAUCUAUCUAUCUAUAUCACCAAAAUUAGGUAACAGAGGACAAAUCAUGUCCCACUUUGGAGGCCAAAGCUCAUCAAGAGCAUGGAUAACUCCACCAAAGCUGAAAGAUCCAUACCCUCUGGUCUUGAAGACCUAGCUUAGGCAGAGCAAUAGCUUUGAUCUAAGAGAGAGGGAGGAGCUUAUCUCAGCGAGAAAGUCUG